rnacentral:rRNA from 1 species
CCUANGGGAGGCUGCAGUCGAGAAUAUUCCUCAAUGGGCGAAAGCCUGAAGGAGCGACGCCGCGUGCGGGAUGAAGGGCUUCGGCUCGUAAACCGCUUUUACUAGGGAAGAACAAUGACGGUACCUAGAGAAUAAGAGGUUGCUAACUCUGUGCCAGCAGCAGCGGUAAUAACAGAGACCUCAAGCAUUAUCCGGAUUAACUGGGCGUAAAGGGUCCGCAGGUGGUCGUGCACGUCGAUGGUUAAAUGUUCGGGCUCAACCCGGACACCGCCGUCGAUACGACAUGACUAGAGGUUGGAAGAGGCGAGCGGAAUUACCGGUGUAGUAGUAAUAUGCGUUGAUAUCGGUAAGAACGCCAAAUGCGUAGGCAGCUCGCUGGAACACACCUGACACUCAGGGACGAAAGCGUGGGGAGCGAAAGGGAUUAGAUACCCUANUANUC